rfam:Candidatus Altiarchaeales archaeon WOR_SM1_79 WOR1_52_54_20398, whole genome shotgun sequence.
GCCGAGGUGGCUCAGAUGGUUAGAGCGCUAGACUCAUAAGCAUUUGCGAUUUUUUGAUUCGCAAAAAAAUGAAAAGACCCUCGUUUGAGCUGGGACAUCUAGAAGUCGCGGGUUCAAGUCCCGCCCUCGGCA